GAGUCAGUAGUGUAACGGAUAAAGCACGCAUUCUGGAAGAAUGAGGUUGAGAUGCGGGUUCUAGUCCCGCCUGACGCG